UUCAGACUUUGCUCUUUUUAUUCCUGUUUUUCAUUUAGAUUUUUUUUUGGCUGGUUCAAGUUCGAAAGGCAUCAACAUCGAGAUCGAAGGCAGCAAGCGCAGCCUGCAAAAGAGCAGAGGGUGUGUGCUCGUUGCCGUUGGUUUGGGGAAGGCGAAUCCACGCAGAUCUACUUUUACCCAAACUGGCCUCAAACUUGAUAUCUAGCCAGAGAUGACCAUGGACUCCCAUUUCCAAGUCACAGUGCUAGCAUUAGGCAAAGCAUUUCUAGAGCGCCUAUUAUGCCUGGAACUAAGACUAAUCUAAACGGCCCUGUUUGACAUCCUUCACCCACCAGAUGCGCCUUCCAGGCAUCACCUCAUUUAAACCACACACUGGUACUUUGAGGCAAACACUGAUACCAUCACCAUGGAUCUUCAGGGUGAAAACAAGUGGCCAGAUACAGAGUGGAACCCAGAUUCUUUGAAUGCUAUCACGUGUCCUUCCCUAUGACAGCAUACUGCUUCCUUGACAGCUAUACAACAGCAAAUUCAUUCCUAUUGUCUCCAGUCCAGUAUACAGUACGUGCUCAAUAAAGGUCGGCUGUUGAAUACAUAAUUACUAGAAACUCUCUAAUCUGUGUCCACGAUGCCACAGUGUCUGCAAUAGACUUUUAACUUAUUCCUGUCUUUUGGGUUAGACACGGGAGGUUGGUUUUACCAUCCCACUUCAAAUAAAAUUUGUAACAAUAAUUUGGGGCUACGGAAAGAAUAAGAUGUAAAAAUCAGAUAAGACUCCAAAGUAAACCCACGGCGCAGACACAGCACUCAACAGAGCCGCAGGGCAGAGAUGUGUCUGUCUGGUUGGAAAAAAGUCAGAUCUUACAAAGCACUGGAGCUUAAGCCAGGAUCAUAUGCCCAGCACAUGUUUCCUGAAAACAGCCACAUCCCUUCCAUGGCUGGUGUGAGGUUUCAGAUAGUUCGAUCAUGAAAAAGCAAAGCAAGAUGUGAGAGGCAGAGAUGGAAGGAGAACAAAGCAGGCUGCUGGCCUUGUCACCACUUCCCUGGAGCACAGCCCCUUCCCAGAGCUCUCAACUUGCCAGUCUGACUCCAUCUUAAACGGUGCAGCUUGUGGCUGGCAGCCAUGCUGUAAAUCGGCAGACCGGGUUCAAGUUCAGACUCAGCUGUUUCCAGUGUGUGACUUUAGGUAAAUGUACUUGAUCUCACGAAGUGUAAAUAAGCCACAAGGCUUCUUCUUAAGCAUCGUAGGAGGUAAGCAUUUUAAUCGAGCUUCCUUACUUCACUCCUAUGCUGUGCUCCUGUGGUCACAAAGGGAUUCUGACUGAGGGAGCAGAGCCAUCUCGAUCGUGGUCAUUGUGGACAAUAGGCAAGCAGAGUCUGCAAGUCCUCCAGGGACCGUAAGGACGGUUGCCUGCACGUGACCCUUGACACUGAACGUUCUUAUUCAUCUAUGCUUGGAGAAUUUCAUACAUGUAUACAACGUGCCUUGAUCAUAUCUACCCACACCCCAAUCCUCCACCAACUUCUUCUAGAACCGCCUCCCCCUACACCGCAUAUCUUCUUUUUUUCUCUCUUUAUAACCCAUUGACACCGGCUAAUGUUGCUUUUAUCCAUUGCAUAUCUAUGACAAAGAUAUGUCACGCUGCCCGACUGUGUUCCUAGAAGAGUAUUCAGAAGUAUUUGUUAAAUGGUAUCUGUCAUUCAUUGAGAACUUAGCACAUGUCAGGCAUUGAGGGAAUUUUUUUUCAGAUAUAUCCCUUAAUGCCCUCAGAAAUCUCCUAAAGCAAAGAUUGUACAUGUGUGUGCAUGUUCACGCGUAGACGGGUUAGCAUGCUGUGUAUGUAUGUACAUGUGUUUGGCCACACGUUAGCCUCAGAUGUCCUUCUCCCGGCGCUAAACACCUUGUCUUUAAGACAAUUAGACUGAGCUGGCCUCCCCAGCACUGCCUAGAUCACUUUUCACUGUGGGUUCUGGGGGUCAAACAUUCCUCUUCAUGUUUGCGUAGUAAGCACUUUCCCCACCCAGCCCAUGAAGCAGGGACUUGUACUAUACUGAGAGAUGCAUUGCGACUUGUCUGGGGGAUGAGAAAACGGUGGGGCCAGAGUUAGCUCUGAGCUGUAUGCGUGCAGCGGGGUGAGAAAACGGUGGGGCCAGAGUUAGCUCUGAGCUGUGUGCUGCAGCGGGGCCGGCGUCAAAUGCAACCGCUAGAAGGACUAGCAUUGGCCGAGGCUCUCCUGCGUGUUGUCUCUUCACUAGCUCAGUUAUGCACGAGGCGUCCUUUCCAAAUACAGGGCAGAGGCUCCUUGGGGUCCACCACUUCCCAGGGUCUGCAGUAAAAGUGCCACUUGAGCUCAGGAAUUUCCACGAGUUGGGGCUUGAAGAUGGCUCAGAGGUUAAGAGCACUGGCUGCUCUUCCAGAGGUCCUGAGUUCAGUUCCCAGCAACCACAU